UACGUAGGGGGCAAGCGUUGUCCGGAUUUAUUGGGCGUAAAGAGCGUGUAGGCGGCCAGACAGGUCCGUUGUGAAAACUCGAGGCUCAACCUCGAGACGUCGACGGAAACCGUCUGGCUAGAGUCCGGAAGAGGAGUGUGGAAUUCCUGGUGUAGCGGUGAAAUGCGCAGAUAUCAGGAAGAACACCCGUGGCUAAGGCGGUUCUCUAGUACGGUACUGACGCUGAGACGCGAAAGCGUGGGGAGCGAACAGG
rnacentral:rRNA from 1 species